GUUCGGAACAACACAGGGAAACUUGUGCUAAUACCGGAUGAGCCCUUCGGGGGAAARAUUUAUCGCCUUUGGAGCGGCCCGCGUCUGAUUAKCUAGUUGGUGAGGUAAUGGCUCACCAAGGCGACKAUCAKUAKCUGGUCUGARAGGAUGGCCAGCCMCACUGGGACUGAGACACGGCCCASACUCCUACGGGAGGCAGCAGUGGGGAAUCUUGCGCAAUGGGSGAAAGCCUGACGCASCCAUGCCGCGUGGAUGAUGAAGGUCUUARGAUUGUAAAAUCCUUUCACCGGGGACGAUAAUGACGGUACCCGGARAARAARCCCCGGCUAACUUCGUGCCAGCAGCCGCGGUAAUACRAAGGGGGCUAGCGUUGCUCGGAAUUACUGGGCGUAAAGGGCGCGUAKGCGGACAGUUAAGUUGGGGGUGAAAGCCCGGGGCUCAACCUCRGAAUUGCCUUCAAUACUGGCUGUCUUGAGUACGGGAGAGGUGAGUGGAACUCCGAGUGU
rnacentral:rRNA from 1 species